rnacentral:rRNA from 1 species
AGAGUUUGAUCAUGGCUCAGGAUGAACGCUGGCGGUAUGCUUAACACAUGCAAGUCGAACGGAAUCUUCGGAUUUAGUGGCGGACGGGUGAGUAACGCGUGAGAAUCUACUCUUAGAUUGGGGACAACAGUUGGAAACGACUGCUAAUACCGAAUGUGCCGAAAGGUAAAAGAUUUAUCGUCUGAGAAUGAGCUCGCGUUGGAUUAGCUAGUUGGAGUGGUAAUGGCACACCAAGGCGACGAUCCAUAACUGGUCUGAGAGGAUGACCAGUCACACUGGGACUGAGACGCGGCCCAGACUCCUACGGGAGGCAGCAGUGGGGAAUUUUCCGCAAUGGGCGCAAGCCUGACGGAGCAAGACCGCGUGAGGGAAGAAGGUCUGUGGAUUGUAAACCUCUUUUGAUCGGGAAGAAGACAGUGACGGUACCGAUCGAAUCAGCUCGACUCCGUG